rnacentral:lncRNA from 1 species
GUGUGGUUUUGUUCUUGCCGCACACAUGCACAUGUACACACCCAAGACUUGCUGGGCAUAGAGUCUGAGUGUGCUAAAACUGAACAUGGAGAGCAACAGUGCCCUUGUUGUAUGAGCUGAUGGUUAAUCAACUGUGGAGACUCCAUAUAUACCAGCACACUUUAUUAAGGGGCAUGGCAAAUUUAUGUGAGCUAAUACAUUUUCCUUAUAAAUGACUUCUUCUGGACUUGAGUUUCCUGAAAUUUAAAGCCACAGUUCUCUCAGUGUGUAAUGGAAUGGCAUCGUAGACCUACCCAAUUGAGAAAUUACAUUAAAAAGGGUAAAACAGGUGAACUGAAGGCUUGGUGACUUUGCCAUGAUUGGUUUCGGUGUUACUUAUAUGAAUACAAGAUAAAUUGCUGUAGAUUUAGGGGUGAAUGGAAAGUGCAAAGGUAAAAUGUGGAAAUUUACACUUCUUGUUAUUCCUCACACAAGUUUGGUUGUGAAUGAAAAGAUACUGGGGGCAAGCUAGAGAAAAGUUCUAGUCAAGGUAUUUUGUUUUGCAGUCUACAUCAUUUUGCCGUUAUUUUUAUUGUUGCAGGUUGUUAGUGGGAUAUCUAGUAUGUCUGCGUGUUGGGAAAGAUUCACUAAGAGCGGGAAUGCUUGAUGGGGAUAUAAUCAGUGGAAUAGAAAAGCAGGAAGGGAUACUCUAGAAGGAGAGGUGGAGGGACUGACCUGCCCUCAUAAAUCUGCACCUUUGGAUUAUGUCCCUUUGAUGCAAGGUUGUCAUGGAACGACUCAAACUCUUCUCAUUAGAACACUAUUUUUUCCUCAAAGGGUUAGGGGUUUUGCCCCAUUUAAUUGUCUUCUGCAAUCAACACCACUCUGGCCAUUGGUGGACACCUGUGGAGGACCGUAAGCAUCUCAUGACAGUAUUCUGGAGCAUCAGUGACUGAUGAACACUGAUGGAGACACUGAAGGCACAGCAGGCAUGCUGGGGUCAUCUGGUCGGAAGCCAAACACUGUGGAUGGCAGAGCAAGAAGACAGACUGAUCCUGAUUCCUGGACAUCCUUGAGCAGCUGCUCCAGCCUACCCACCUCCAGCCAGUCUGCCACAUGUGAAGAAGACAGCUCUCAUUUGUUUCAACCACUGAAGUAUUUUGUGUAGUUGUAUAUGUUGCUGUUAACUAUGGAU